AACGAACGCUGGCGGCAUGCCUAACACAUGCAAGUCGAACGAGAACUUCGGCUCUAGUUGCGCACGGGUGCGUAACCCGGGGGAAACUGCCCUUAUGUUCGGAGUAACUCCCCGAAAGGGGUUCUAAUACCGGAUAAUGUCUUCGGACCAAAGAUUUAUCGCCUUUGGAUGUGCUCUCGUUGGAUUAGCGUGUUGGUAUGGUAAAGGCCGACCAAGGCGCCGACCCAUAGCUGGUCGGAGAGGAUGGGCAGCCACACUGGGACGGUGAGACGGCCCAGACUCCAGCCGCAGCCAGGAGUGCUGCGGGAGGCAGCAGUGGCGGAUGCUGGACGAUGGGCCGAAGCGUGAGGCAUCAAUGCCGCGUGAGUGAUGAAGGCUUUAGAGUUGGAAAGAUCCACUUGCCGGGAUGAGAGUGACCGUUCGGGGUAAAUGAGGCCCCGGCAACCUCCUU
rnacentral:rRNA from 1 species